CGUCUAGCGCCAGCACAACCAGGACUUCAGCUUCUUUAUCGUCAGAGGAACUUCAUAAGCUAAAGAGAGGCUUGACUCGAAUUAUCAGACGAAGAGAGGAGGAAAUUCAAAGAUCACGAAGAUGAUGGAGAAACUGUCAGUGCUGGUCUCAGGGAUAGCACAGCUUUUUUGAGCUUUUCUUGUGAAGACUGUGUCUACUGUUGGGGAGGAUGCUAUUUCAUGCCCAUGUGAAGACUUUGCAGGACCAGAAGACAAC